rnacentral:rRNA from 1 species
GACGAACGCUGGCGGCGUGCUUAACACAUGCAAGUCGAACGGAAAGGCCCUGCUUUUGUGGGGUGCUCGAGUGGCGAACGGGUGAGUAACACGUGAGUAACCUGCCCUUGACUUUGGGAUAACUUCAGGAAACUGGGGCUAAUACCGGAUAGGAGCUCCUGCUGCAUGGUGGGGGUUGGAAAGUUUCGGCGGUUGGGGGUGGACUCGCGGCUUAUCAGCUUGUUGGUGGGGUAGUGGCUUACCAAGGCUUUGACGGGUAGCCGGCCUGCGAGGGGGACCGGCCACAUUGGGACUGAGAUACGGCCCAGACUCCUACGGGACGCAGCAGUGGGGUAUGUUGUACAAUGGGCGGAAGCCUGGUGCGGCCACGCCGCGUGCGGGAUGACGGCCUGGGGGUUGGAUUCCGCUUUCGCCUGUGACGAGGCGUGAGUGACGGUAAUGGGUAAAGAAGCACCGGCUAACUACGUG